UACGUAGGGGACGAGCGUUGUCCGGAAUUACUGGGCGUAAAGGGCGCGCAGGCGGUAUAUCAAGUCAGCUGUCAAAGACUGGGGCUCAACCCUGGUAUGCGGUUGAAACUGAUAUGCUGGAGUGCUGUAGAGGCAAGUGGAAUUCCCAGUGUAGCGGUGAAAUGCGUAGAUAUUGGGAAGAACACCGGUGGCGAAGGCGACUUGCUGGGCAGCAACUGACGCUGAGGCGCGAAAGCGUGGGGAGCAAACAGGAUUAGA
rnacentral:rRNA from 1 species